rnacentral:rRNA from 2 species
UUAAUUUGAGAGUUUGAUCCUGGCUCAGGACGAACGCUGGCGGCGUGCCUAAUACAUGCAAGUCGAACGAACUCUGGUAUUGAUUGGUGCUUGCAUCAUGAUUUACAUUUGAGUGAGUGGCGAACUGGUGAGUAACACGUGGGAAACCUGCCCAGAAGCGGGGGAUAACACCUGGAAACAGAUGCUAAUACCGCAUAACAACUUGGACCGCAUGGUCCGAGCUUGAAAGAUGGCUUCGGCUAUCACUUUUGGAUGGUCCCGCGGCGUAUUAGCUAGAUGGUGGGGUAACGGCUCACCAUGGCAAUGAUACGUAGCCGACCUGAGAGGGUAAUCGGCCACAUUGGGACUGAGACACGGCCCAAACUCCUACGGGAGGCAGCAGUAGGGAAUCUUCCACAAUGGACGAAAGUCUGAUGGAGCAACGCCGCGUGAGUGAAGAAGGGUUUCGGCUCGUAAAACUCUGUUGUUAAAGAAGAACAUAUCUGAGAGUAACUGUUCAGGUAUUGACGGUAUUUAACCAGAAAGCCACGGCUAACUACGUGCCAGCAGCCGCGGUAAUACGUAGGUGGCAAGCGUUGUCCGGAUUUAUUGGGCGUAAAGCGAGCGCAGGCGGUUUUUUAAGUCUGAUGUGAAAGCCUUCGGCUCAACCGAAGAAGUGCAUCGGAAACUGGGAAACUUGAGUGCAGAAGAGGACAGUGGAACUCCAUGUGUAGCGGUGAAAUGCGUAGAUAUAUGGAAGAACACCAGUGGCGAAGGCGGCUGUCUGGUCUGUAACUGACGCUGAGGCUCGAAAGUAUGGGUAGCAAACAGGAUUAGAUACCCUGGUAGUCCAUACCGUAAACGAUGAAUGCUAAGUGUUGGAGGGUUUCCGCCCUUCAGUGCUGUAGCUAACGCAUUAAGCAUUCCGCCUGGGGAGUACGGCCGCAAGGCUGAAACUCAAAGGAAUUGACGGGGGCCCGCACAAGCGGUGGAGCAUGUGGUUUAAUUCGAAGCUACGCGAAGAACCUUACCAGGUCUUGACAUACUAUGCAAAUCUAAGAGAUUAGACGUUCCCUUCGGGGACAUGGAUACAGGUGGUGCAUGGUUGUCGUCAGCUCGUGUCGUGAGAUGUUGGGUUAAGUCCCGCAACGAGCGCAACCCUUAUUAUCAGUUGCCAGCAUUAAGUUGGGCACUCUGGUGAGACUGCCGGUGACAAACCGGAGGAAGGUGGGGAUGACGUCAAAUCAUCAUGCCCCUUAUGACCUGGGCUACACACGUGCUACAAUGGAUGGUACAACGAGUUGCGAACUCGCGAGAGUAAGCUAAUCUCUUAAAGCCAUUCUCAGUUCGGAUUGUAGGCUGCAACUCGCCUACAUGAAGUCGGAAUCGCUAGUAAUCGCGGAUCAGCAUGCCGCGGUGAAUACGUUCCCGGGCCUUGUACACACCGCCCGUCACACCAUGAGAGUUUGUAACACCCAAAGUCGGUGGGGUAACCUUUUAGGAACCAGCCGCCUAAGGUGGGACAGAUGAUUAGGGUGAAGUCGUAACAAGGUAGCCGUAGGAGAACCUGCGGCUGGAUCACCUCCUUUCUAAGGAA